UACGUAGGGGGCUAGCGUUGUCCGGAUUUAUUGGGCGUAAAGAGCGUGUAGGCGGCCAGGUAGGUCCGUUGUGAAAACUCGAGGCUCAACCUCGAGACGUCGGCGGAAACCAUCUGGCUAGAGUCCGGAAGAGGAGAGUGGAAUUCCUGGUGUAGCGGUGAAAUGCGCAGAUAUCAGGAGGAAUACCCGUGGCGAAAGCGGCUCUCUGGGACGGUACUGACGCUGAGGAGCGAAAGCGUGGGGAGCGAACAGG
rnacentral:rRNA from 1 species